rnacentral:rRNA from 1 species
ACGAACGCUGGCGGCGUGCUUAACCCAUGCAAGUCGAACGGAAAGGCCCCUUUGGGGGUACUCGAGUGGCGAACGGGUGAGUAACACGUGAGUAACCUGCCCUUGACUUCGGGAUAACUUCAGGAAACUGGGGCUAAUACCGGAUAGGAAUCCUUGCUGCAUGGUGGGGGUUGGAAAGCUUCGGCGGUUUUGGAUGGACUCGCGGCUUAUCAGCUUGUUGGUGGGGUAGUGGCUUACCAAGGCUUUGACGGGUAGCCGGCCUGAGAGGGCGACCGGCCACAUUGGGACUGAGAUACGGCCCAGACUCCUACGGGAGGCAGCAGUGGGGAAUAUUGCUCAAUGGGCGGAAGCCUGAUGCAGCAACGCCGCGUGCGGGAUGACGGCCUUCGGGUUGUAAACCGCUUUCAGCAGGGGCGAAGCUUGUGGUGACGGUACCUGCAGAAGAAGCACCGGCUAACUACGUG